CCGACGCCGGUUCAUAGGCGCGGGCCGGCGUGUCCUUGGACUUAGAGAGCGGGACAUCCGGCCUCUGGACGGUACGGUCGAGUGGCGCGCGACGAGAGCGUGAAUUCACGAUGGCUGAUACUGAGAAGGGCAAGAAAAUUUUUGUUCAGAAGUGUGCCCAGUGCCACACUGUG